ensembl:lincRNA Gm43271 predicted gene 43271
AGGAAGGAACCUGGAGAACGCUCUCCUCAGUGCCCUAGUUCGUCACAGACGGGUCCUUGCAGCGUCAUCUCUGGACAUUCUGAGGAGUGGUACGGCUCCAUCACUAAGGAAUCUGGAGGCUGGAGCUGAGGCAGAAGCCAUGAAGGGUUGCUGCUUACUGGCUUGCUCUACAUAGAUUGCUCAGCCUGCUUUCUUAUAGAACCCAGGACCACCAGCUCAAAGGUGGCCCUGCCCACAGUAUGCUACCCCUUCCAUAUCAAUGAUUAAUCAUGAAAACUGCACCACAGGCCAUUCUGUUGGGAGCAUUUUCCCUCUUGAGGUUCCUCUUCCAAACUGAGUCUAGUAUGUGUUAAGCUGACUUAAAACUGUGUGGACAAAGCUUUCCUGAAAAGCCUCAACAUCACGGGAAAUAAUCCCAAGAGCUAUCAAAUACAUUUGCAUAAAAUCUAAAAGCUUUGGCACCGAAAAGACAAGAAUUACCUGGAGAAACAGACAUAGAAUAGAACAAAGUCUUCCCACUGCCUGUCAGAUGGUGUUACUAUUUAGACUACACAGGAAAUGCAAAGUUAAAUACCAGAAAAUUGUCUAUUCAAUAAAUGUGUUAAUGGACCAAAUAAAAAAUUAUUUUCUCUUUGUU